AAAAUGAUUUAUCAGAUGCUCAUCCUGUGAUUGACAUAUACGUAAUAUAUUAAACAAACAUGCUGGUCCAAGGUUUUCAAUUUGAGUACAAGGGUCAUAUCAAAAAUUCCAAUGACAAUAAAUAUCUCAAGAUAUGAUGUCAGUUGAAAAUUUAUCAAAUACACAUUAUUAUCAUGUCAUUCAAAUUAUUUUGUCUAAGAUACUUGAUAUUUUCAUCUUUUAUCACCUAAUUUGCAAUACAAUCAAGUUAUAAAACAUUUAGACUGACAAGAAUCUGUCGAACGAAAAUCAUUUAAUUAAAAAUGAUAACAAGCGUAUUAACAUGAUACUGCCUACUAGAAACACUCAUCUUAAAGGAACUUUAAGGGAAAAGAUUACGUGAAAUUUAGAUGUAAGGAAAUGUAAAAAUACACCAUGAUGAAUCGCUAGAGUAAGGUAAAUAGGUGAACUUCCACAACCACAAGCCUCCAUCAAGCCAAAAACAAGAAAUGAGCCAGCAGAAUAAAAAUUGAGCCAAUUAGCAAAAAUUUAGCUCAAAUAACUAUGGAAAAUUCUUUCAAAGUUAAACUAAUUGUAUAAAAGCCCACGUCAACAUCUUUUUUUUCAUUUCCUCCCAAGUUGAUUAUCAAACAUAAACCCAGUAAGUUUCAUGUUUGAAUUUUUCACGUACACAGCCAUUUCUAAAAAAUUAUCCAUAAAGGAAACCUACAGAAGCAUACUAACGCAAUAGGAGAAAGCAAACGCUAUUUUCUAAUUCAGAAAAUAAGAUGAUAGUGUGUGAUAAGUCAACAAUCCGUGACACAUUUCUAUAUUUUCCCACAUUAAAGAUCAGUCAAAUAGUGCAUCCCAUCAAAGUGACUUACAUGGCGAGAAAGAAUGGUACGAA
rnacentral:misc_RNA from 1 species